rnacentral:rRNA from 1 species
AGAGUUUGAUCAUGGCUCAGAUUGAACGCUGGCGGCAGGCCUAACACAUGCAAGUCGAGCGGCAGCACGGGGAGCUUGCUCCCUGGUGGCGAGCGGCGGACGGGUGAGUAAUGCAUAGGAAUCUGCCCGGUAGUGGGGGAUAACCUGGGGAAACCCAGGCUAAUACCGCAUACGCCCUACGGGGGAAAGCAGGGGCUCUUUGGACCUUGCGCUAUCGGAUGAGCCUAUGUCGGAUUAGCUGGUUGGUGAGGUAAUGGCUCACCAAGGCGACGAUCCGUAGCUGGUCUGAGAGGAUGAUCAGCCACAUCGGGACUGAGACACGGCCCGAACUCCUACGGGAGGCAGCAGUGGGGAAUAUUGGACAAUGGGCGCAAGCCUGAUCCAGCCAUGCCGCGUGUGUGAAGAAGGCCCUCGGGUUGUAAAGCACUUUCAGUGGGGAAGAAAGCCUGGCGGUUAAUACCCGCCAGGAAGGACAUCACCCACAGAAGAAGCACCGGCUAACUCCGUGCCAGCAGCCGCGGUAAUACGGAGGGUGCGAGCGUUAAUCGGAAUUACUGGGCGUAAAGCGCGCGUAGGCGGCUUGAUAAGCCGGUUGUGAAAGCCCCGGGCUCAACCUGGGAAUGGCAUCCGGAACUGUCAGGCUAGAGUGCAGGAGAGGAAGGUAGAAUUCCCGGUGUAGCGGUGAAAUGCGUAGAGAUCGGGAGGAAUACCAGUGGCGAAGGCGGCCUUCUGGACUGACACUGACGCUGAGGUGCGAAAGCGUGGGUAGCAAACAGGAUUAGAUACCCUGGUAGUCCACGCCGUAAACGAUGUCGACUAGCCGUUGGGUCCUUCGCGGACUUUGUGGCGCAGUUAACGCGAUAAGUCGACCGCCUGGGGAGUACGGCCGCAAGGUUAAAACUCAAAU